rnacentral:rRNA from 1 species
CGUUUUGUGGGGUGCUCGAGUGGCGAACGGGUGAGUAACACGUGAGUAACCUGCCCUUGACUUUGGGAUAACUUCAGGAAACUGGGGCUAAUACCGGAUAGGAGCUCCUGCUGCAUGGUGGGGGUUGGAAAGUUUCGGCGGUUGGGGAUGGACUCGCGGCUUAUCAGCUUGUUGGUGGGGUAGUGGCUUACCAAGGCUUUGACGGGUAGCCGGCCUGAGAGGGUGACCGGCCACAUUGGGACUGAGAUACGGCCCGG